rnacentral:rRNA from 1 species
GGUUUCCGUAGGUGAACCUGCGGAAGGAUCAUUACCGAGUGUAGGGUUCCUAGCGAGCCCAACCUCCCACCCGUGUUUACUGUACCUUAGUUGCUUCGGCGGGCCCGCCAUUCAUGGCCGCCGGGGGCUCUCAGCCCCGGGCCCGCGCCCGCCGGAGACACCACGAACUCUGUCUGAUCUAGUGAAGUCUGAGUUGAUUGUAUCGCAAUCAGUUAAAACUUUCAACAAUGGAUCUCUUGGUUCCGGCAUCGAUGAAGAACGCAGCGAAAUGCGAUAACUAGUGUGAAUUGCAGAAUUCCGUGAAUCAUCGAGUCUUUGAACGCACAUUGCGCCCCCUGGUAUUCCGGGGGGCAUGCCUGUCCGAGCGUCAUUGCUGCCCAUCAAGCACGGCUUGUGUGUUGGGUCGUCGUCCCCUCUCCGGGGGGGACGGGCCCCAAAGGCAGCGGCGGCACCGCGUCCGAUCCUCGAGCGUAUGGGGCUUUGUCACCCGCUCUGUAGGCCCGGCCGGCGCUUGCCGAACGCAAAUCAAUCUUUUUCCAGGUUGACCUCGGAUCAGGUAGGGAUACCCGCU